GACCUUCUUCGGAGGGUAUGCUUAAAGAGGGGCUUGCGCCACAUUAGUUAGUUGGUGAGGUAAAGGCUUACCAAGAUUAUGAUGUGUAGCUGGACUGAGAGGUUGAACAGCCACAUUGGGACUGAGACACGGCCCAAACUCCUACGGGAGGCAGCAGUAGGGAAUUUUCGGCAAUGGAGGAAACUCUGACCGAGCGACGCCGCGUGAACGAUGAAGUAUUUCGGUAUGUAAAGUUCUUUUAUUGAAGAAGAAAAAAUAGUGGAAAAACUAUCUUGACGUUAUUCAAUGAAUAAGCCCCGGCUAACUAUGUGCCAGCAGCCGCGGUAAGACAUAGGGGGCGAGCGUUAUCCGGAAUUAUUGGGCGUAAAGGGUGCGUAGGCGGUUAGAUAAGUCUAUAAUUUAAUUUCAGUGCUUAACGCUGUCUUGUUAUAGAAACUGUCUUGACUAGAGUGAGAUAGAGGCAAGCGGAAUUCCAUGUGUAGCGGUAAAAUGUGUAAAUAUAUGGAGGAACACCAGAAGCGUAGGCGGCUUGCUGGGUCUUUACUGACGCUGAGGCACGAAAGCGUGGGGAGCAAACAGGAUUAGAUACCCUGGUAGUCCACGCUGUAAACGAUGAGUACUAAGUGUCGGGGUAACUCGGUACUGAAGUUAACACAUUAAGUACUCCGCCUGAGUAGUACGUACGCAAGUAUGAAACUUAAAGGAAUUGACGGGACUCCGCACAAGCGGUGGAUCAUGUUGUUUAAUUCGAAGAUACACGAAAAACCUUACCAGGUCUUGACAUACUNUGCAAAGCUAUAGAAAUAUAGUGGAGGUUAUCAGGGAUACAGGUGGUGCAUGGUUGUCGUCAGUUCGUGUCGUGAGAUGUUAGGUUAAGUCCUAAAACGAACGCAACCCCUGUCGCUAGUUGCCAGCACGUAAUGGUGGGGACUUUAGCGAGACUGCCAAUUAAACAUUGGAGGAAGGUGGGGAUAACGUCAAAUCAUCAUGCCCCUUAUGAUCUGGGCUACAAACGUGAUACAAUGGCUAUUACAAAGAGUAGCUGAAACGCGAGUUUUUAGCCAAUCUCAAAAAGGUAGUCUCAGUACGGAUUGAAGUCUGCAACUCGACUUCAUGAAGCUGGAAUCGCUAGUAA
rnacentral:rRNA from 1 species